rnacentral:rRNA from 1 species
AAUUGACGGGGCCGCACAAGCGGUGGAGCAUUGUGGUUUAAUUCGAAGCAACGCGAAGAACCUUACCAGGUCUUGACAUCCGAUGCUAUUUCUAGAGAUAGAAAGUUACUUCGGUACAUCGGUGACAGGUGGUGCAUGGUUGUCGUCAGCUCGUGUCGUGAGAUGUUGGGUUAAGUCCCGCAACGAGCGCAACCCCUAUUGUUAGUUGCCAUCAUUCAGUUGGGCACUCUAGCGAGACUGCCGGUAAUAAACCGGAGGAAGGUGGGGAUGACGUCAAAUCAUCAUGCCCCUUAUGACCUGGGCUACACACGUGCUACAAUGGUUGGUACAACGAGUUGCGAGUCGGUGACGGCGAGCUAAUCUCUUAAAGCCAACCUCAGUUCGGAUUGUAGGCUGCAACUCGCCCACAUGAAGUCGGAAUCGCUAGUAAUCGCGGAUCAGCACGCCGCGGUGAAUACGUUCCCGGGCCUU